rnacentral:rRNA from 1 species
AGGUAAUAAUCCUGUAGUCGAAAAUGUUGUCUCUCUUGAGUGGAUCCUGAGUACGACGGAGCACGUGAAAUUCCGUCGGAAUCUGGGAGGACCAUCUCCUAAGGCUAAAUACUCUCUAGUGACCGAUAGUGAACCAGUACCGUGAGGGAAAGGUGAAAAGCACCCCGGAAGGGGAGUGAAAUAGAACCUGAAACCGUGUGCUUACAAGUAGUCAGAGCCCGUUAAUGGGUGAUGGCGUGCCUUUUGUAGAAUGAACCGGCGAGUUACGAUUUGAUGCAAGGUUAAGCAGUAAAUGUGGAGCCGUAGCGAAAGCGAGUCUGAAUAGGGCGUUUAGUAUUUGGUCGUAGACCCGAAACCAGGUGAUCUACCCUUGGUCAGGUUGAAGUUCAGGUAACACUGAAUGGAGGACCGAACCGACUUACGUUGAAAAGUGAGCGGAUGAACUGAGGGUAGCGGAGAAAUUCCAAUCGAACCUGGAGAUAGCUGGUUCUCUCCGAAAUAGCUUUAGGGCUAGCCUCAAGUGAUGAUUAUUGGAGGUAGAGCACUGUUUGGACGAGGGGCCCCUCUCGGGUUACCGAAUUCAGACAAACUCCGAAUGCCAAUUAAUUUAACUUGGGAGUCAGAACAUGGGUGAUAAGGUCCGUGUUCGAAAGGGAAACAGCCCAGACCACCAGCUAAGGUCCCAAAAUAUAUGUUAAGUGGAAAAGGAUGUGGCGUUGCCCAGACAACUAGGAUGUUGGCUUAGAAGCAGCCAUCAUUUAAAGAGUGCGUAAUAGCUCACUAGUCGAGUGACACUGCGCCGAAAAUGUACCGGGGCUAAACAUAUUACCGAAGCUGUGGAUUGUCCUUUGGACAAUGGUAGGAGAGCGUUCUAAGGGCGUUGAAGCAUGAUCGUAAGGACAUGUGGAGCGCUUAGAAGUGAGAAUGCCGGUGUGAGUAGCGAAAGACGGGUGAGAAUCCCGUCCACCGAUUGACUAAGGUUUCCAGAGGAAGGCUCGUCCGCUCUGGGUUAGUCGGGUCCUAAGCUGAGGCCGACAGGCGUAGGCGAUGGAUAACAGGUUGAUAUUCCUGUACCACCUAUAAUCGUUUUA